rnacentral:rRNA from 1 species
UAGGGGAUCUUCGGCAAUGGACGAAAGUCUGACCGAGCAACGCCGCGUGAGUGAAGAAGAUUUUCGGAGCGUAAAACUCUGUUGUUAGAGACGAACAAGGACGUUAGUAACUGAACGUCCCCUGACGGUAUCUAACCAGAAAGCCACGGCUAACUACGUGCCAGCAGCCGCGGUAAUACGUAGGUGGCAAGCGUUGUCCGGAUUUAUUGGGCGUAAAGCGAGCGCAGGCGGUUUCUUAAGUCUGAUGUGAAAGCCCCCGGCUCACCUGGGGAGGGUAAUUGGAAACUGGGAGACUUGAGUGCAGAAGAGGAGAGUGGAACUCCAUGUGUAGCGGUGAAAUGCGUAGAUAUAUGGAGGAACAACAGUGGAGAAGGCGGCUCUCUGGUCUGUAAAUGACGCUGAGGCGCGAAAGCGUGGGGAGAAAACAGG